rnacentral:rRNA from 1 species
UCGAAACCUGCGCGAGCAGAACGACCCGCGAACUCGUUUAUUAACUCCGGGGGGUCAGGGCCCGGCGCAGGCCGGAACCUGCCCCCCAAGGCCGGGAUUCGUUCCUCCCUCCCUCKUGGGGCGGAGCGAUCUUCCCGGCACCAACGAACCCCGGCGCGGAUUGCGCCAAGGACCAUGGAUGCCAGCGCGUCCCGCGUCCCUCGGUCGUCCGAGGGCCGCGGCGACGACGURYUGUACGUAACAAAACGACUCUCGGCAACGGAUAUCUCGGCUCUCGCAUCGAUGAAGAACGUAGCGAAAUGCGAUACUUGGUGUGAAUUGCAGAAUCCCGUGAACCAUCGAGUCUUUGAACGCAAGUUGCGCCCGAAGCCGUUCGGCCAAGGGCACGUCUGCCUGGGCGUCACCCGUCGCGUUGCCCCCUCCCCUCCUCUCUUCGGGGGAAGAGGAGGGGGCGGAUGUUGGCCUCCCGUGUGCCGCUGCGNGCGCGGCCGGCCUAAAUGCGGAGCUCGUGGACACGGACGCCGCGACGAUUGGUGGUACACACGCGGCCCUGCGGCCGCGAUGCAUCGCGUCGCGCGUCCCAGCGUCCAACGGCGCUCGAAGGACCCCAACGGAGAGCCCCCCGCCGGCGCGCGGGGGAUCCCGAAAGCCUUUGUGACRCC